GGAAAGUCAGCAUUCAGGAAUCAUCAGUUAAUGCUCCAUCAUGAAAAAUUUAGGACCAGGAUUUCUCCUGUUUCUUGCCCUACUGGGAUUAAUCGCUGGAGAGGAGCUGGGCGUUCCACUGAGCAGCAGACGGAUUUGUGCCAAUCGGAUGGGGAUCUGUCGCCACUCCUGCUUGCCUCAUGAGCUCCACAUUGGGAUUCACGGCUGCCCACGUCGCUAUAAGUGCUGCGUGGUGAGGAUCUAGCAGAUCUGACGGCUGACAUCAAUCCAUCCAGACCGCUCCAGGGGCCAGGCCAUGCAGCCUCACAGGCAGCUGUUCUACCAAUUGCUCCUGGUGCCUGAAGCAGCUUCUAGGUGGGCAUGUGACUGGCUGCUCUGCAAUCAAGACAUUUCCCCCACUGAUGACUUCUCAUCUAAUCUGCCAGAGAGGGAUGGAAACCAGCCUUGUCAAAACCUACAAACAAGAAGGAUGUUCACGACAAAUUCCUGUUUGUUUUGCUCAACAGUUGAAGCAGUGGUGGGCAGGCCUGCUCAACUUUGCCCCCCCAGCUGUUUUUGGACUACAACUCCCGUAAUCCCCAGGCACAGUGGCCAAGAGCCAGGGAUCAUGGGAGUUGUAGGCCAACAUCUGUAGGAGGGCCAACGUUGAGCAGCCCUGUGAUAAUGUUGGGCUAAGACCAAUACGACCUGCAUCGAAAUCCCCACCCUGUCGUGAACUUCACUGAGUGACCAUGGGCCAGCCACUCUCUCUCAGCCUAACCUUCCUCACAGGGCUGUUGUGUGGAUGAAAUGUGGGAGGGGAGAAAGCCACAUCCACUGCCCUGAGCUCCUUGCAGGAAGGAUGGGACAAAAAUGUCUUAACAAUGAAAGGAUGCAUUGACACUGAACGCUCAGAUUGUUUUGAAACUAGCUCAAAUGUGGGUUGCCAGAUGUUGUUGAACUACAACCCCAUCAUUCCCAGCCACAAUGGUCACAGGCCACUGUGGCUGGGGAUGAUGGGAGUUGCAGUCCCAACAAUGUGUGGGAAUCAAAUGUUAAGGACCCCUCCACUAAACCUUAGGGAUGAAGCAGGGUAUAACUGGAGUCAAUAAAUAAUUGCCCCAUUU